GCCAGGCAUGGUGGCACGUGCUUGUAUUCCCAGCUACUCAGGAGGCUGAGGCAGGAGAAUCGCUUGAGCCCAGGAGGCGGAGGUUGCAGUGAGCUGAGAUCGUGCCACUGCAUUCCAGCCUGGGCAACAGAGCGAGACUCUGUCUCAA
rnacentral:SRP_RNA from 2 species